GUCACGGUCCAAAGGUGUUAGGACCAAGGACCCCCAAAAUUGGAAGGAAAAUUGGCUUUACGGGUUGUUAGAGCCAAUUCUGCAUUUGGGCCUGUGUGGCAGCCCAAAUGAAGUUCAACGGGCUUGUGCUGCUGGUUGCAGGGGAAAAAUGCCAACUGGGGCAGAUUGGCCAGCAGACAGGUUGAACGGGCCCGUGGGUGCCAGAGGUGACUGGCACUGUUGGGGAAAACAGGCGGACUUGCGGGCCAGGAGGGCUAGCAAGCGAGGUUCACUUGGAGACUGGGCCAGGCGUGGAGCCCAGCAGGCCAGACGGGCUGGCAAAGGCAAUGGAGGCAAUCUGGCGAGUGGCAGGCCCAACAGGGUGCAAUUGGGCCAGCCCAGCACGGGGGAAGGUGCUGGAAGCCAGGGGGCGUCGCCAGAUGGAAGAAGGUUCAAUGGGGCUGGAACAUUCGAGAAGGUUCCAGGGGCAUCCGGAGAUGUCCAGGCGCAGAUGAGGUUCAGCGGGCACGCUGGUAGGCCGCGCGAGGCUGGCGGGCCGAGCG
rnacentral:lncRNA from 1 species